CUCACCCACUCGUUCACACACCCACUCAUUCACACACUAACCCACUCAUUCACACACUAACUCACCCACUUGUUCACACACCCAUUCACACACUAACUCACCCACUCAUUCACACACUAACUCCCCCACUCAUUCACAAACUCGCCCACUCGUUCACACACUAACUCACCCACUCAUUCACACACUAACCCAUUCAUUCACACAGUCACCCACUCAUUCACACACUAACUCACCCACUCGUUCACAACCCAUUCACACACUAACCCACCCAUUCAUGCACUAACCCACUCUUUCACACACCAACUCACCCACUCAUUCACACACCCACUCAUUCACACACUAACUCACCCACUCGUUCACACACCCAUUCACAAAAUCCCUCAUUCACACACUAACCCAUUCACACACUAACUCAGCCACUCGUUCACACACCCAUUCACACACUAACUCAUCGACUCAUUCACAUGCCCACUCAUUCACACAGUAACUCACCCACUCAUUCACAAACUUGCCCACUGCUUCACACACUAACUCGCCCACUCACACACUAACUUGCCCACUCGUUCACAAACUCACCCAUUCAUUCAUACACUAACCCACCCACUUAUUCACACACUAACUCAUUCACACAACCCAACUUAUUCACACACUAACCCACUCAUUCACACACUAACCCACCCACUCAUUCACAAACUAACCCAUUCAUUCACAAACUCACCCACUCGUUCACACACCCACUCAUUCACACACCUACUCAUUCACACACUAACUCGCCCACUCAUUCAUACAGUAACUCGCCCACUCAUUCACACUAACUCGCCCACUCGUUCACACACUAACUUGCCCACUCGUUCACACACUAACUUGCCCACUCGUUCACAAACUCACCCAUUCACAC
rnacentral:lncRNA from 10 species